rnacentral:rRNA from 1 species
UCUGUAGCAAGGUUAACCGAAUAGGGGAGCCGGAGGGAAACCGAGUCUUAAUUGGGCGUUAAGUUGCAGGGUAUAGACCCGAAACCCGGUGAUCUAGCCAUGGGCAGGUUGAAGGUUGGGUAACACUAACUGGAGGACCGAACCGACUAAUGUUGAAAAAUUAGCGGAUGACCUGUGGCUGGGGGUGAAAGGCCAAUCAAACCGGGAGAUAGCUGGUUCUCCCCGAAAGCUAUUUAGGUAGCGCCUCGUGAAUUCAUCUCCGGGGGUAGAGCACUGUUUCGGCUAGGGGGCCAUCCCGGCUUACCAACCCGAUGCAAACUGCGAAUACCGGAGAAUGUUAUCACGGGAGACACACGGCGGGUGCUAACGUCCGUCGUGAAGAGGGAAACAACCCAGACCGCCAGCUAAGGUCCCAAAGUCAUGGUUAAGUGGGAAACGAUGUGGGAAGGCCCAGACAGCCAGGAUGUUGGCUUAGAAGCAGCCAUCAUUUAAAGAAAGCGUAAUAGCUCACUGGUCGAGUCGGCCUGCGCGGAAGAUGUAACGGGGCUAAACCAUGCACCGAAGCUGCGGCAGCGACACUAUGUGUUGUUGGGUAGGGGAGCGUUCUGUAAGCCUGCGAAGGUGGCCUGUGAGGGUUGCUGGAGGUAUCAGAAGUGCGAAUGCUGACAUAAGUAACGAUAAAGCGGGUGAAAAGCCCGCUCGCCGGAAGACCAAGGGUUCCUGUCCAACGUUAAUCGGGGCAGGGUGAGUCGACCCCUAAGGCGAGGCCGAAAGGCGUAGUCGAUGGGAAACGGGUUAAUAUUCCCGUACUUGGUGUUACUGCGAAGGGGGGACGGAGAAGGCUAUGUUGGCCGGGCGACGGUUGUCCCGGUUUAAGCGUGUAGGUGUGUGUUCCAGGUAAAUCCGGUUCACUUUAACACUGAGGCGUGACGACGAGGCACUACGGUGCUGAAGCAACAAAUGCCCUGCUUCCAGGAAAAGCCUCUAAGCAUCAGGUAACAUCAAAUCGUACCCCAAACCGACACAGGUGGUCAGGUAGAGAAUACCAAGGCGCUUGAGAGAACUCGGGUGAAGGAACUAGGCAAAAUGGUGCCGUAACUUCGGGAGAAGGCACGCUGACACGUAGGUGAAGUGAUUUACUCACGGAGCUGAAGUCAGUCGAAGAUACCAGCUGGCUGCAACUGUUUAUUAAAAACACAGCACUGUGCAAACACGAAAGUGGACGUAUACGGUGUGACGCCUGCCCGGUGCCGGAAGGUUAAUUGAUGGGGUCAGCGCAAGCGAAGCUCCUGAUCGAAGCCCCGGUAAACGGCGGCCGUAACUAUAACGGUCCUAAGGUAGCGAAAUUCCUUGUCGGGUAAGUUCCGACCUGCACGAAUGGCGUAAUGAUGGCCAGGCUGUCUCCACCCGAGACUCAGUGAAAUUGAACUCGCUGUGAAGAUGCAGUGUACCCGCGGCAAGACGGAAAGACCCCGUGAACCUUUACUAUAGCUUGACACUGAACAUUGAGCCUUGAUGUGUAGGAUAGGUGGGAGGCUUUGAAGCGUGGACGCCAGUCUGCGUGGAGCCGACCUUGAAAUACCACCCUUUAAUGUUUGAUGUUCUAACGUGGACCCGUGAUCCGGGUUGCGGACAGUGUCUGGUGGGUAGUUUGACUGGGGCGGUCUCCUCCUAAAGAGUAACGGAGGAGCACGAAGGUUGGCUAAUCCUGGUCGGACAUCAGGAGGUUAGUGCAAUGGCAUAAGCCAGCUUGACUGCGAGCGUGACGGCGCGAGCAGGUGCGAAAGCAGGUCAUAGUGAUCCGGUGGUUCUGAAUGGAAGGGCCAUCGCUCAACGGAUAAAAGGUACUCCGGGGAUAACAGGCUGAUACCGCCCAAGAGUUCAUAUCGACGGCGGUGUUUGGCACCUCGAUGUCGGCUCAUCACAUCCUGGGGCUGAAGUAGGUCCCAAGGGUAUGGCUGUUCGCCAUUUAAAGUGGUACGCGAGCUGGGUUUAGAACGUCGUGAGACAGUUCGGUCCCUAUCUGCCGUGGGCGCUGGAGAACUGAGGGGGGCUGCUCCUAGUACGAGAGGACCGGAGUGGACGCAUCACUGGUGUUCGGGUUGUCAUGCCAAUGGCACU